rnacentral:rRNA from 1 species
GUGGGGAAUCUUCCGCAAUGGACGAAAGUCUGACGGAGCGACGCCGCGUGAGUGAUGAAGGCCUUCGGGUCGUAAAGCUCUGUCGUCGGGGACGAACGGCCGCCUCAGGGAAUGGGGGCGGAGUGACGGUACCCGAGAAGGAAGCCACGGCUAACUACGUGCCAGCAGCCGCGGUAAUACGUAGGUGGCAAGCGUUGUCCGGAAUUAUUGGGCGUAAAGCGCGCGCAGGUGGGAUUUUAAGUCCAUUUUGAAAGUUCGGAGCUUAACUCCGUGAUGGGAUGGAAACUGGGAUUCUUGAGUACCGGAGAGGAAAGCGGAAUUCCCCGUGUAGCGGUGAAAUGCGUAGAUAUGGGGAGGAACACCAGUGGCGAAGGCGGCUUUCUGGACGGUGUCUGACACUGAGGCGCGAAAGCCAGGGGAGCGAACGGGAUUAGAUACCCCGGUAGUCC